GUGUGGCUGAAGGGCUGGUUAAUGAAGAUAUCCUCAAGCCAUUGGUAAGGGAGCACUCAGAGCUGCAAUGUUGUGAAAAUCAGUGCAAGUAUAUUUUCGUGAAGAUUGAGGUGAGAACUUGGCGAAGGAGCAGAUUACCCCAUAUCAUCCUGCUUCUGAGUUUGGUGCACCUUUUUCGGAGGCAUCUGGUGCUGGAAACUGUCAGGAUUUUGGACUAGACAGACUCUGAGUGGAAGCACAUGCUCCUGGACAGCAACUGAAAAGUGAAUGGUACCGUACUCAGGCACCCAAACAUGAAUUCGUCCUUGCUGUAAUUGGUCCAGAUGAGAUUCCAAUAGAUGCACUUUUUACUUUAUUCUGAUGAUUUAUUUCCCCCUAUCUGCUUAUAAAUGCAGGUUUGCGUGUUCCAAG